rnacentral:tRNA from 1 species
GCCUCCGUGGUGUAAUGGUCAGCACACUCGGCGCGUAUUGAGAGAUUCGAGGUUCGAGUCCCGGUGAGGGCA